UAUUGGUCAAUAGCCUAACGGCUGAACCAGCAACUUGGAGGAAUGUAUAGGGAAAGCUGGUAAAAUGUGAUGUACCUAGUAAUAUUAGAAAUUAAUAUGAGAUUAACUAAGUUAAUUAAAAUUCAAAGUAGAUUUUGAUUAUGACAUUAUCUGCUAAGGUCUUGACCAAGUCACGUGCCAGCAGUCGCGGUAAUACGUGGUAGACGAGUGUUAUUCAUCUUUUAAAGGUUUAAAGGGUACCUAGACGGUUAAUCAAGCGAAAAAGUACUAAUUAACUAGAGUUUAAUGUAAGAAAGUCUAGUACAGUGAGUGGAGAGAUAAAAUUCAUUGAUACCACUAUGGAACUGGUAAGGGCGAAGGCAAUUUUCUAUGUAAAAAACUGACGUUGAAGGACGAAGGA
rnacentral:rRNA from 1 species